rnacentral:rRNA from 1 species
GAUGAACGCUGGCGGCGUGCCUAAUACAUGCAAGUCGAGCGAACGGACGAGAAGCUUGCUUCUCUGAUGUUAGCGGCGGACGGGUGAGUAACACGAGGAUAACCUACCUAUAAGACUGGGAUAACUUCGGGAAGCCGGAGCUAAUACCGGAUAAUAUUUUGAACCGCAUGGUUCAAAAGUGAAAGACGGUCUUGCUGUCACUUAUAGAUGGAUCCGCGCUGCAUUAGCUAGUUGGUAAGGUAACGGCUUACCAAGGCAACGAUGCAUAGCCGACCUGAGAGGGUGAUCGGCCACACUGGAACUGAGACACGGUCCAGACUCCUACGGGAGGCAGCAGUAGGGAAUCUUCCGCAAUGGGCGAAAGCCUGACGGAGCAACGCCGCGUGAGUGAUGAAGGUCUUCGGAUCGUAAAACUCUGUUAUUAGGGAAGAACAUAUGUGUAAGUAACUGUGCACAUCUUGACGGUACCUAAUCAGAAAGCCACGGCUAACUACGUG